GGUUCUGUUAAACAUGUCAUCCAUCGCACCUGCUGAUUCGCCGUACGAGCUGUUUGGUUUAUUGUGGCGCUUCAGAUGUAGAACGUCUGCCGUUUAAUUUGACCUCCCCAACUAGAUGCCAAUGUACGUUUAAUCUGACUUUGUUUGGUUCUGUGGUUGUUUUUCUCCUGUCCGUAUUGUUCUUCUGCUACUCUUUGUCCCACAAUCUCCAGGUUUUCGGAAUUUAGGAACGAUCCAGAGAGGCGAUUUCCCAUUUGUCUUUAAAGUCCGACGGGCCACACCACGAAAUCCAGUAACAUUAAGAGGAAGGGAGCCACAACUUUCUUUUUUAAAAUCAAAUAUAAAUUCCUAUCCGUCAGCACAAAGUCAACCAGCAUUUUUGGUAUGUCUAGCCGUUCACACGAUGCGUUACCAAUGGGCAUUCAGCUAGGGACAAGAGUAUAAAAUAUAAAACAACCACACAGCAACAUUUCGUUCUGCAAUUUUCUUCCAUUAGAAUGUAUCAUUUGCGUGCAACUGAGCUCAGAAAAUCCAGUUUUGAUCUUUAGUGCAAAUGAAGAGAAAAAUUCCAUUAACAUUUCUUGCAAGAUUCUGGUACAUCAGAAAUUUGAAGGGAGAAUGUAUAUUACAAGUCGAGAAAUUAGUCUCGCUACAGACAGCCUACUUCCUUUUAACCGUCUGUAGGCUGACAGGAAAUAAUCAACUAAUGUGUGAAAGAAAUACAUUCUUUUGAAUUUAAUGAGAUGAUAGCAUUUAAUCUAUGCAAAUAAAUUCCUGACCAGCCCAACCUAGGGAGACGCCCUCUUCAUCUCACUAAAUUUAAAAUUUCCAAAGAAUCAUGAAUUCUCCAAUGCUUACGGGAGAAAAAUACCUACAAGGUCCGAAUGAUGGACAAAUAAAUUCUAGGACUGCAUACUCAUGGAGAAUUCAGUAUAGGCGACCUCGGCAGUUUGGAGCUCCACAAUAGCAAGGGCGUCCAUCUCCAGGUAAGAACUUGUAUCGGUAGUCAUAGGCCAGUUCUUCCCCUACAGCAAUCUAAGAACAAAAGAGACCUCAGUAAGCCACAUGGGUUAUCAACGUAGUAAGAAACGGAAAAAGCACCAGCGAAGUUCAUACAUCCCGACUUGCAUAGAGACCAAUAUGAGCAAGCUGACAAUCCAUGCUCUCCACCAAAACCAGAUAAUUCACAAGGUUGGGUGAACAGCUACCACCAAUUCGAACAUCAUG
rnacentral:lncRNA from 1 species